UUAAGCGACUAAGCGUACACGGUGGAUGCCCUGGCAGUCAGAGGCGAUGAAGGACGUGCUAAUCUGCGAAAAGCGUCGGUAAGGUGAUAUGAACCGUUAUAACCGGCGAUGUCCGAAUGGGGAAACCCAGUGCAAUUCGUUGCACUAUCGUUAACUGAAUACAUAGGUUAACGAGGCGAACCGGGGGAACUGAAACAUCUAAGUACCCCGAGGAAAAGAAAUCAACCGAGAUUCCCCCAGUAGCGGCGAGCGAACGGGGAGCAGCCCAGAGUCUGAAUCAGCUUGUGUGUUAGUGGAACGGUCUGGAAAGUCCGACGGUACAGGGUGAUAGUCCCGUACACCAAAAUGCACAGGUUGUGAACUCGAAGAGUAGGGCGGGACACGUGGUAUCCUGUCUGAAUAUGGGGGACCAUCCUCCAAGGCUAAAUACUCCUGACUGACCGAUAGUGAACCAGUACCGUGAGGGAAAGGCGAAAAGAACCCCGGCGAGGGGAGUGAAAAAGAACCUGAAACCGUGUACGUACAAGCAGUGGGAGCACCUUCGGGUGUGACUGCGUACCUUUUGUAUAAUGGGUCAGCGACUUAUAUUCUGUAGCAAGGUUAACCGUAUAGGGGAGCCGCAGGGAAACCGAGUCUUAACUGGGCGUUAAGUUGCAGGGUAUAGACCCGAAACCCGGUGAUCUAGCCAUGGGCAGGUUGAAGGUUGGGUAACACUAACUGGAGGACCGAACCGACUAAUGUUGAAAAAUUAGCGGAUGACUUGUGGCUGGGGGUGAAAGGCCAAUCAAACCGGGAGAUAGCUGGUUCUCCCCGAAAGCUAUUUAGGUAGCGCCUCGUGAAUUCAUCUUCGGGGUAGAGCACUGUUUCGGCUAGGGGGUCAUCCCGACUUACCAACCCGAUGCAAACUACGAAUACCGAAGAAUGUUAUCACGGGAGACACACGGCGGGUGCUAACGUCCGUCGUGAAGAGGGAAACAACCCAGACCGCCAGCUAAGGUCCCAAAGUCAUGGUUAAGUGGGAAACGAUGUGGGAAGGCACAGACAGCCAGGAUGUUGGCUUAGAAGCAGCCAUCAUUUAAAGAAAGCGUAAUAGCUCACUGGUCGAGUCGGCCUGCGCGGAAGAUGUAACGGGGCUAAACCAUGCACCGAAGCUGCGGCAGCGACACUAUGUGUUGUUGGGUAGGGGAGCGUUCUGUAAGCCUGCGAAGGUGGCCUGUGAGGGUUGCUGGAGGUAUCAGAAGUGCGAAUGCUGACAUAAGUAACGAUAAAGCGGGUGAAAAGCCCGCUCGCCGGAAGACCAAGGGUUCCUGUCCAACGUUAAUCGGGGCAGGGUGAGUCGACCCCUAAGGCGAGGCCGAAAGGCGUAGUCGAUGGGAAACAGGUUAAUAUUCCUGUACUUGGUGUUACUGCGAAGGGGGGACGGAGAAGGCUAUGUUAGCCGGGCGACGGUUGUCCCGGUUUAAGCAUGUAGGCUGGUUAUCCAGGCAAAUCCGGAUAAUCAAGGCUGAGGUGUGAUGACGAGGCACUACGGUGCUGAAGUAACAAAUGCCCUGCUUCCAGGAAAAGCCUCUAAGCAUCAGGUAACAUCAAAUCGUACCCCAAACCGACACAGGUGGUCAGGUAGAGAAUACCAAGGCGCUUGAGAGAACUCGGGUGAAGGAACUAGGCAAAAUGGUGCCGUAACUUCGGGAGAAGGCACGCUGGUGUGUAGGUGAAGUCCCUGCGGAUGGAGCUGAGACCAGUCGAAGAUACCAGCUGGCUGCAACUGUUUAUUAAAAACACAGCACUGUGCAAACACGAAAGUGGACGUAUACGGUGUGACGCCUGCCCGGUGCCGGAAGGUUAAUUGAUGGGGUUAUCCGUAAGGAGAAGCUCUUGAUCGAAGCCCCGGUAAACGGCGGCCGUAACUAUAACGGUCCUAAGGUAGCGAAAUUCCUUGUCGGGUAAGUUCCGACCUGCACGAAUGGCGUAAUGAUGGCCAGGCUGUCUCCACCCGAGACUCAGUGAAAUUGAACUCGCUGUGAAGAUGCAGUGUACCCGCGGCAAGACGGAAAGACCCCGUGAACCUUUACUAUAGCUUGACACUGAACAUUGAGCCUUGAUGUGUAGGAUAGGUGGGAGGCUUUGAAGCGUGGACGCCAGUCUGCGUGGAGCCAACCUUGAAAUACCACCCUUUAAUGUUUGAUGUUCUAACGUUGGCCCCUGACCGGGGUUGCGGACAGUGUCUGGUGGGUAGUUUGACUGGGGCGGUCUCCUCCCAAAGCGUAACGGAGGAGCACGAAGGUUAGCUAAUCCUGGUCGGACAUCAGGAGGUUAGUGCAAUGGCAUAAGCUAGCUUGACUGCGAGCGUGACGGCGCGAGCAGGUGCGAAAGCAGGUCAUAGUGAUCCGGUGGUUCUGAAUGGAAGGGCCAUCGCUCAACGGAUAAAAGGUACUCCGGGGAUAACAGGCUGAUACCGCCCAAGAGUUCAUAUCGACGGCGGUGUUUGGCACCUCGAUGUCGGCUCAUCACAUCCUGGGGCUGAAGUAGGUCCCAAGGGUAUGGCUGUUCGCCAUUUAAAGUGGUACGCGAGCUGGGUUUAGAACGUCGUGAGACAGUUCGGUCCCUAUCUGCCGUGGGCGCUGGAGAAUUGAGGGGGGCUGCUCCUAGUACGAGAGGACCGGAGUGGACGCAUCACUGGUGUUCGGGUUGUCAUGCCAAUGGCACUGCCCGGUAGCUAAAUGCGGAAGAGAUAAGUGCUGAAAGCAUCUAAGCACGAAACUUGCCCCGAGAUGAGUUCUCCCUGAGACUUUAAGUCUCCUGAAGGAACGUUAAAGACGAUGACGUUGAUAGGCCGGGUGUGUAAGCGCAGCGAUGCGUUGAGCUAACCGGUACUAAUGAACCGUGAGGCUUAACCUU
rnacentral:rRNA from 1 species